rnacentral:tRNA from 1 species
GGGAAUGUGGCUUAGUGGUAGAGUGCUUGCCUAGUAAGCAUGAAGCCCAGGGUUCGAUUCCUCAAUACCA